AACUUAAAACCAUGGACAGCGUCUUUCCCCUGGGGAAGCUGGUUAACUUCAAGACAGGCUCCCUGGUCCCUGGAGGAGCUGCGUUUCUCUGGAAUGUUCUCAGCCAAUGAGAAGACGGAUGACUCAAUUUCCCAUCCUCAGGCUGUGUGAGUCCCAGGAGGACGGGGCAGAUGUGAAAGGAGGAAGAUGGAAGUCCUCAGGAGAGCUGACCUGGCCUUGAAUGCAAAAACCUGAAUAUUAAAAAUAAAAGAGGAGGUGAUGGACGGGGAAAUAAGAUUGGAGAAUGAAGGAUUUAUGGAGGACUUGA